rnacentral:lncRNA from 1 species
GAUGCAAUUUAGUUUGAGUGUUUGACAAAUGUAGCCUUUAAUAAAAGAUUCUAACACUUUUUUUUUUUUUUGGUGCGUUCAGGCAUUGAGCUUUAUUGUGCACCUACUGCUGAUGGUUCGAAAGAAUGGCAAUCGUCGAUGCUUCACAUUGCGAUCGAAGGUGGAUGUUUCGUAUUGUCGGCUUGCCAGUUCUGCCUUCGUAAAGAUUUCCCUGAUCAUCCUGACUACUUGUUUACCGAUUGGUACGACGACAAAGAGCCUGACUCUAUUGUUUCCCAAGGUGGAAGUGUUAUUAUUUCACCUUUGGGACAGGUUCUUGCGGGACCAAACUUUGAAUCAGAGGGUCUCAUCACAGCUGAUCUUGGUAAAAAUAUAUAUAAUCUUCUUUAGUUUUUAUCUUAGGCUAUAGAAAAGGAUAAUUUUUUUAGCUAAUCAUAUUUUAUUUUUGUCAUCAAGAUCUUGGUGAUGUAGCAAGAGCUAAGUUGUACUUCGAUUCGGUUGGACAUUACUCGAGACCAGAUGUUUUACACUUGACCGUAAAUGAGCACCCGAAGAAACCGGUCACAUUCAUUUCGAAGGUGGAGAAAGCGGAAGAUGACUCAAACAAGUAAUCGGUUGUGAUUCGUCAGUUCAUGUCACUCCUAUGAAGGAGUCAAGUUCAAAAUGUUAUGUUGAGUUUCAAACUUUUAUGCUAAACUUUUUUUCUUAAUUUUCGUUAAUAAUGGAAGAGAACCAAUUCUCUUGUAUCUAAAGAUUAUCCAUCUAUCAUCCAAUUUGAGUGUUCAAUUCUGGAUGUUGUGUUACCCUACAUUCUACAACCAUGUAGCCAAUUAUUAUGAAUCUGGCUUUGAUUUCAGUUGUGUUCUUUUCUUUUUUUUCUUUGCAUAUUUGCAUUUAGAAUGUUUAAUAAUUAAGUUACUGUAUUUCCACAUACAUUAGUUCCAAGAAUAUACAUAUAUUAAUUUAUUUUUCUUAAAAAUGUUUUGGAAUGACUAAUAUUGACAACGAAAAUAGAAGCUAUGCUAAACCAUUACGUAUAUGUGACUUCACAUGUUGUUGUUUUACAUUCCCUAUAUAUAUGGAUGGCUGUCACAAUCAGAAACGUGAUCGAAAAAAGACAAACAGUGUUUGCAUAAAAAGACUAUUUCGUUUCAUUGACAAUUUGUGUUUAUUUGUAAAGAAAAGUGGCAAAGUGGAAUUUGAGUUCCUGCAAGUAAGAAAGAUGAAAUAAAAGACUUGAGUGUGUGUUUUUUUCUUUUAUCUGAAAGCUGCAAUGAAAUAUUCCUACCAAGCCCGUUUGAUUAUUAAUUGGGGUUUGGUUUUCUUGAUGCGAACUAAUUGGUUAUAUAAGAAACUAUACAAUCCAUGUUAAUUCAAAAAUUUUGAUUUCUCUUGUAGGAAUAUGAUUUACUAUAUGAGACUUUCUUUUCGCCAAUAAUAGUAAAUCCAAAGAUAUUUGACCGGACCAAAACACAUUGAUCUAUUUUUUAGUUUAUUUAAUCCAGUUUCUCUGAGAUAAUUCAUUAAGGAAAACUUAGUAUUAACCCAUCCUAAGAUUAAAUAGGAGCCAAACUCACAUUUCAAAUAUUAAAUAACAUAAAAUGGAUUUAAAAAAUCUAUACGUCAAAUUUUAUUUAUGACAUUUCUUAUUUAAAUUUAUAUUUAAUGAAAUACAGCUAAGACAAACCAAAAAAAAAAUACUUUCUAAGUGGUCCAAAACAUCAAUUCCGUUCAAUAUUAUUAGGUAGAAUCGUACGACCAAAAAAGGUAGGUUAAUACGAAAUUACAAACAUAUCUAUAUACAUAGUAUAUAUUAUUACCUAUUAUGAGGAAUCAAAAUGCAUCAAAUAUGGAUUUAAGGAAUCCAUAAAAGAAUAAAUUCUACGGAAAAAAAAAAAAGAAUAAAUUCUUUUAAGUUUUUAAUUUGUUUUUUAUUUGGUAGUUCUCCAUUUUGUUUUAUUUCGUUUGGAUUUAUUGUGUCCAAAUACUUUGUAAACCACCGUUGUAAUUCUUAAACGGGGUUUUCACUUCUUUUUUAUAUUCAGACAUAAAGCAUCGGCUGGUUUAAUCAAUCAAUAGAUUUUAUUUUUCUUCUCAAUUAUUAGUAGGUUUGAUGUGAACUUUACAAAAAAAACAAAAACAAAUCAAUGCAGAGAAAAGAAACCACGUGGGCUAGUCCCACCUUGUUUCAUUUCCACCACAGGUUCGAUCUUCGUUACCGUCUCCAAUAGGAAAAUAAACGUGACCACAAAAAAAAAACAAAAAAAAAGUCUAUAUAUUGCUUCUCUCAAGUCUCUGAGUGUCAUGAACCAAAGUAAAAAACAAAGACUCGAGUUGAUAUGUCUAGUACUAAAGAUAUGUCAACUGUCCAAAACGCAACUCCUUUUAACGGCGUUGCCCCAUCCACCACCGUGCGAGUUACAAUCGUCCAAUCCUCCACCGUCUAUAACGAUACUCCUGCCACUAUAGGUAACCAAUCCAUUAAUUCAUCCUCUGACCUAUUUUUAUUUUUAUUUUUUGAUAUGUAAAAUUUAUCGAAAACGUUCCAUUUCAAUAUGUAGACAAAGCGGAGAAGUAUAUUGUGGAGGCGGCAAGCAAGGGAGCAGAGCUAGUGUUGUUCCCGGAGGGGUUUAUCGGUGGCUAUCCUCGAGGUUUUAGGUUCGGUUUAGCGGUUGGCGUUCAUAACGAAGAAGGGCGUGAUGAGUUUCGGAAGUACCAUGCUUCUGCUAUUCAUGUUCCUGGUAUUACUAUUUACUUCCAUUAUUUGUAUUCUUUUUAUUAUCAUCUUAUCUUGUAUUUUAUCCAUAAAAUGAUUUUUGAUACAUUUUUAACCAAUCAAUGACUUUGAACCAUAUCCUCAAUUAUUGCAUGCUUAUCCUAGGCCGAGUGUAUUCAAAGUAUACACCACCCGAUCUCGGAUCCAAGCCUACCAAAAAUUUGGAUAUGCGGAUCUAGAUGACAAUAUUUAUCCUGAUCUUUAUCUUUUAAAUGUAUAAAUUACUAUAUGUUACAUUAAAUUUUAUAAUUUUUACACCAAAAAAUAUAAUAUUAAAUCUCUUUAAUUAAAGAUUUUUUUUAUUUCUCCUUUAUUUGGUUGCUGGAUUAUGAUUUUUAGUUGGCUAUGGUUGGAGUCUUGGUGAUGUGUAUAAGUUUUGGACAAUUGAAUUUUAUUUGGAACAAAGUAAACUUAACUUUGAGGGAAAAUAUGUUUGAUUUCGAGUUCUCUUUUUUUUUGUCACGUUUAGAUGAAAUUUAAUUGGAACAAGCAUCUAAUUAAUGAGUGUUCUUGCUCUAGUUUAAAUUUAGUUGAGCACUCUCAAUAUCUUGGAACACAAAAUGACUCUUUUUGGUUUUUGUGAUGAAUCUUCAGGCCCUGAAGUAGCAAGAUUGGCUGACGUGGCUAGGAAAAACCAUGUGUACUUGGUAAUGGGAGCCAUAGAGAAGGAAGGGUAUACCCUCUAUUGCACAGUUCUUUUCUUUAGUCCACAGGGUCAGUUCUUGGGCAAGCACCGUAAACUCAUGCCCACAAGUUUGGAACGUUGCAUUUGGGGCCAAGGGGACGGAUCAACCAUCCCCGUUUACGACACUCCCAUUGGAAAACUCGGUGCUGCUAUUUGCUGGGAGAAUAGGAUGCCCCUCUACAGAACUGCAUUGUACGCCAAAGGUCAGCUUUUAAUGCAAUGCCGUUUGAAACAUCUAGGCUUUUACAAAAAAAUCUUACAAAGUUUUUUUUUUAUUUUUCGUUUUUGGUGUUUAGGCAUUGAGCUUUAUUGUGCACCUACUGCUGAUGGUUCGAAAGAAUGGCAAUCGUCGAUGCUUCACAUUGCGAUCGAAGGUGGAUGUUUCGUCUUGUCGGCUUGCCAAUUCUGCCAGCGUAAACAUUUCCCUGAUCAUCCUGACUACUUGUUUACCGAUUGGUACGACGACAAAGAACAUGAUUCUAUUGUCUCCCAAGGUGGAAGUGUCAUUAUUUCACCUUUGGGACAAGUUCUCGCCGGACCAAACUUUGAAUCAGAGGGUCUCGUCACAGCUGAUAUUGGUAUGUAUAUGUAUAUUUACACUCUCAUUUGAUAGUCAUCUUAGGUUAUAGAAAAGGAUAACGUUUUUUUUUUUUUUUCCAUCAAGAUCUUGGUGAUAUAGCAAGAGCCAAGUUAUACUUCGAUUCGGUUGGACAUUACUCGAGACCAGAUGUUUUACACUUGACCGUAAAUGAGCACCCGAGGAAAUCGGUUACAUUCGUGACGAAGGUGGAGAAAGCUGAGGAUGACUCAAACAAAUAGUAAGAGACUUGAAGUUCGUAUCUGCUGGAGUUAUGUCAAUCGUAUGGAGUCAAGUCCAAAAUGUUCUGUUGCGUUUUCAUUUUAUGUUCAAGUUUAUUUAUCUUUCUCUUCAAUGGUAAGAUCUAUGGAGUCAAGUAAUAAUGGUAAGACUUAUGUUGUUGAAUAAAACGAAUUGGUUCUCUCCUCUUGUAUUUUAAAACUGUGCCAUUAUGUUUAUCUAAUUUGGGCGUUGGGCGUUGAAUCUCAAUUGUUGUUCAGCCGUAUAACUAUUUAGCCAACUAUUAUGAAUUAGGCUUUUGAGAUCUCUGUUUUUUUUUUUUUUUAAUAUCAGGAAGUUCUGGAUCGAAACUUGUAAUCCUUCCAGGCCCGAAACCACAUCGUAUAAUAUUAGUUUCGUUCCAAGCGUUACUCGAACCGAUGAACUCUAGCUCCGCCUAGGAUCUUUACCAAUUGAGCUAACGACACUUGGUUUUUUCUCUCAGAUCUCUGUUAUGAUCUUUCUAAUUUUCUUUGUACGUCAAAAACAUAUAUUUUCAUGUUUUAAUAAUUUUCCUAUUGCAUAGAAUCACAAGGAAACAUAUAUAGUCAAGACUUGAAAAUCAUCCAUUCGAAUCUAAUGAGAGUUUGAAAAGAGUCUACCAAAUUACUCAAUUGUCAAAAGCCGAAUCAUAUAGGAUAAUGAUGGCUAACCAAAACCAGGAAAUUCAAGUCACAUAUAGGAUAACUAAGAAUUAGUGAGUUAUUAAGUCUCAAAAAUUAGAACGUCGUUUAUUUAUUUUGUCGUCAAUUUUGCUAUACUUCUAUGGUUGUAGUAUUGUUUGGGGUCAAAUAUAUCAACCACCCCGCUCUUUACAUAAUUAACUAGGUGUUGUUCCAUGUCUUGCGUACGUACGUCAGAUUCAUUUUAAAUAUGUGGUUUAGACAUGUGCAUGUGAAGAAUACUUUCCGUGAAGAAUACUCCCUUUAACGAAGACAAUUUGGUUAUAACAUAAAUACAUAAUUUGAAGUCUAGUUGCGAUGGUGUUUGAAAUGGUCUUAAUUAUAAAUCACAAAUUUGGAUUGUAAUUGAUGAACAUGGAUUUUGAAAUACUUGAUUGAAAAGGAAUCUAUGUCACGUAGCUUUUUAACGAGUCAAAGAUUGCACAAUCGAAGCUACAAGCAAAAAGUUGUGAAUAGCUGUAUGCAAGACGUAGACGUUGCAUUGCGAAGGAAAAGGAAGUCUCUAUAAAUUGGAAACCUUUGAAAAUUCUAAUCAAAGCGAUCAUUAUAUAAUUAUGAUAACUCACAACUCGAGUUUUAACCCAAAUACGAACUUACUUAACCGCGCAUAUUGGACAGUCAAAUGCAUGUUAGUAAGUCAUAGCCAAAAGGGUCACACACCAGAAAAUAUUGGGGUACGUAGAACUUAAGUAAGACGAAAUAAGUUUUUUUUUUGCCUUCGUUGUCAGAAAAGAAUAUCAAAGCAUUAUGCAUAUUUGCAUGAAUUCAUGAAUGUACAAACACACAAAGCACCAAUAAUGGGAUUAAGAGUUGAAAUCGUUCUAGAAGUCAUAUAACGAAAUUAGAUCAAUCUUCUUUCAAAAAGUAUAACCUAAAUAGUUCAAAUAUAUAUGAAUCAUGUGCCAUCCUUUGGAUGAGAGAAAUUUAAGAAAAGUUAAGUCGAAGUUGACCAGUUCACAGAAAAAAAAAAACAGCUAAACAUUAACAUUGAUUAGCCAAAUAUUUUUUGCUCCUCUAAGUUACUAUACGCAUUUUAAUUAAAAUUUAGGUGAUCAAUCAAAUAUUAGCACGAAGAUCAUCCUAGAUGGAAAACUAAUUGAAUAAAUCUCUAAAUCAUCAUCUUUAAUCUAACAAGCAAAACAACUCCUUGAUAAUCCUAACCCCAAUUGAGGAUCUAACUUAGUCAUAACAAAAGAACAUAAGAAAUAAAUAUAGAAGAAAUAUGUUAAAAUAUAAAAUAAAAAAUCCAGGUUUUUUUAUUUUUUUGGUUUUUAAAAAGUUAGGUUUCAUAAAUGUUUUUAAAUAAAAAGUGUAGAGUCAAAGAUUCGAUUCACCAAACUAUCUCUUUGCCUUUCUAAGAACCAGAAUAAAAUACAAAUUAGUUGAGGUGAAAUGAUAUGGUGUAAUUUUGUUUUUUUAUUUUCUUGGUCCACAACAUAAUAUGAAUAAUAACACAUGAAUGACACUAACACAGACCAUAACUCACACCAAUUUAGUAUAAUUUGUUAAAUAUAUUUGCUUAAAGGUUUUUGUAGUGAGAAGUUACACAUGAAAAGUACAUAAAUAAAUAAAAAAAUUACACAAAAAGACCUUCUUUGCUGUCGAUUGAAUUAAUAAACAUGUGCAAAUUAAUGUAAAUAUAGAAACACGACACAGCCAAAAAGAAAAUAACAUUUUCUUAGUGGUCCACAAAUGACAAAUUAAGUACAUACAACUUCUUAGAUAGAACCAAACGAAGAGAGGGGAAAACAAAAUUACAAAAUAAAAAAUAUUAUCUAUCACGUGGAAACAAAAUGCAUGAAACUAUAUAUGGGGUAAUAGCCUAAUAGGAAUUAAAAAAACAAAAAAAAACCUAAACAAAAAAAAAUCCAUAAGUUAUACACAAAAUGUAUUUGGCUUGUCUUGUGUCCAGAUUCUUUAUAAUGUUAAUGGUACUUUUUCUCUUUCGUUGAAGGCAUCAAAGAUGGUUUGAUAGUGUUACUUUUUUGUUGUGCAAAAGAAAAACCUUUAGUCCUAUUAUCUUCCAUUAUCUUUGUAUAUUUUCACUAUAAAGUCGAUAUAAACGUUCUUUAUUGUGAACUGUAAUCUUUCUGUAUUAUUGAACAUGCGUUAAAAGAAAUUUUUUUUUGCAAACCUUUCACUUUCAUCAAUUUAAUUUUCAAUUCAAUUAGUGGUCCUACGUACAAAGUAGUUGUACAGUAUACAACUUAUUAGAUAGUAUGGCGAGACAAUAAUUAGAAAAAGAUUGGACUGCUUGAAAAUUAAAGGAAAAAAGAUUCAUAGCAAAAUCGUAAGUAAAUAAAAAUUAUUACUUCUUAUGAUGAAGCAAAAUGUUUGGGAUAUGAAAUAAUAUGAACAAAAGAAAAAAUCAUUAAGUUCACAGUUGAAUAAGUGGUGAUGGUCUAACGGUUUUUUAAAUAAAUGAAAUAUAUUUUAAACACGAUAUUAUCAACGAUUGAUAUUUUAUUAGUUUUAAAAAUGAAUACUUAAAAUCACUAGUUAAAUUCUAUUUUUCUUUUAAAUCUUAAAUCUUAUAACAAAAAUCCGAAAUUGCUUAACUUUUACAUACAAGUGUGUUUAUAAAUUUGUAGAGUUUUGAUUACUCAGAUUGGAGAUAUCUUGCUAAUGAUAUUUUUUCUUCUUUGGGAUGUGUUGCCUUCUUCGCUAAAGGAGAGAGAACCCCAUUUGUGAAUUCUGACGUCUUCGGAAAUGUAAUGAGGCUACAUUUGACAAACUUAAAAAUUGCUCAGAAUCUUAUUUGCUCCUAAACCAAAUGAUGGAGAAAACAGUCUUUUACGGUAAUUUUUAUCUUUUUCUUGUCUAAUUUUUCUAUGAGAUUUUUUAUUUAAAUAGUCAGUUAUAAACAUUAAAAUAUUACUUGAUAUUUUGAAAAUUAAAAUGAUAUAUGCUAUGAAAUAAUUUUGAUUAUUUUAAAUAUAUCAUCUGUUAAACGGUCGUCCAAUAUUAGUAUAGUACCACUUUCUCUCUACAAUCUCUUUAGCUUUAUAUACAUUUUUAUAGGUUUUCUAAACGUCUUUGUCCCACAAUAAUCUCUCUAAGUACAUUUUUAUACAUUUUCUUUACAAAUAUUUGUAUACAUUUUAUAUACGUAUUUUUCUAUGCUUAAGAGUUUUGGUUUACAAAUAAUAUAAAUAAUUGAGUAUGUGAAUCCGACAUCCACGAGAUAGUCUUAAUAUAAGUGACAAUAGUUUUAAAAUAUAAGUAACAAAAACUAGAAAUAUGUUUUUUGCAGAUUUUUUGAAUUAAAAGCAUUUUAUGCAAUUGAUGAUUAAAAGAUUCAAUUGAAAAAAUCUCAAACUUGUUUUUCUUUUAUCAUGUAAUAAAGUUGUAGUUCCACUUGAGAAUAUGUUUUUUUUUUCCUGAUAUAUGCUUCGCAAAUUACAUAUAUAUCAUUUUUUAAAAAUGUUACAUAUCACUUAUUAAUUUUUUUAAAAACAAUUAACGAUUUAUUAAUUUAUCGAUUUAUGUCAUUUUUUACAUUGUUUCAAUUUGAAAUCGAUUUUUUUUUAUUAAAUUAUAAAAAUGAUUAAUUUAUUGAGUAUUAAUUUAUAGAGAUUUUAUUCUAUAUAACAUUAGGUGGAGAAUUACAUUUAUAUUCUUCUUACCUUCAUAUUAGGUGGAGGAUUACAUUUAUAUUCUUCUUACAUAAGAUAAGAAAAAGAACACGUGAACUACUGAACACGUGAACGCGUGAUCCACCACCGGUUCGUUCUGCAAUACCGUCUCAAGUAUAAAACUAAAAAUUGAUCGACAAAAAAAAAAAGACUAUAUAUAAUGCCUCCCAAGUCUCUUCAGUGUCAUCAAAGUAUAAAGUAAAAACAAAGACUCGAGUUAAUAUGUCUAGUACUGAAGAAAUGUCAUCAGUCAAAAACACAACUCAGGUUAUUGGCGUUGACCCAUCCUCCACCGUACGAGUUACCAUCGUUCAAUCUUCCACCGUCUAUAAUGAUACCCCGGCCACUUUAGGUAACUAAUUAAUCCAUUAAUUAUUCCGCUAUAUAUAUAUAUAUUUUUUUUUUUGAUAUGUAACAUUUAUCAAAACGUUCCAUCUCAAAUUGUAGACAAGGCGGAGAAGUUUAUUGUGGAGGCGGCGAGCAAAGGAGCGAAGUUGGUGUUGUUUCCCGAGGCGUUCAUCGGCGGUUAUCCUCGAGGUUUUAGGUUUGGUUUAGCGGUGGGAGUUCAUAACGAAGAAGGGCGUGAUGAGUUUCGUAACUACCAUGCUUCUGCUAUUAAAGUCCCUGGUAAAAUCAUCCGUUGACUCUAUUUUUUUUUUGUAUCUCAGUUUGUAGUUUCAUUUUAUUAUCUUGUUUAAGUAAAUUGAUAUUUUGAUAGAUUUGGGACUAAUUUAUCAGUAACAUUGAACAAAAAUCUUCAAUUAUUAUGUGCUUAUCCCCGAGUACGACUAUUUCAAAAUCACCACCCGAUCUUAUCGAUUUUGUAAGAUUGGAUAUGAAUGAUAUAAUUAAUAUUCAGGAUCCGUUAGAAUCGGAUCCAUAUGUUUAAUUGUAUAUAGUAUUACACUUCAUUGUCUUUUUACUUUUGGCAACAUAUGAUACUCUGUUAUUAUUAUUAUUAUAUAUAUUUUUCUGUCAAUACAACAUAUAAAGAGUUUCUUACAAAAAUUACAAAAGUGUUUUUAAUUUUUUUCUCUGUCCACAUCUUGUUUGUUUUCUGCUUGUCUUGUUUUGUUUGAUUUUAACGUAUCCGGAUUCGUUGCUACCCAUAAGGGUUCGGAAAUCCGGAUUAUGGUUUUUAUUUGGUUAUGCAUGUUAGCUGCUGUUGUUGGAGUCUUAAGGACAGUUAAAUUUUAUUUGGAACAAAGUAAACUUAACUCUUAGGAAAAACAUGUUUCUGCUUCAUGUAGAGUUCUCUGUUUUUGUCACUAUGAGUGUUAUAGCUCUAGUUUAAGUGAGCACUCUCAAAGCUUGGAUCACAAAAUGAUUAUUUCUUGCAUAUGUUUGGUACUCUUGUAAAUGAUGUAAUGAAUCUACAGGCCCUGAAGUGGAAAGAUUGGCUGAGUUGGCCGGGAAAAAUAAUGUGCACUUGGUAAUGGGGGCUAUAGAGAAGGAUGGUUAUACACUCUAUUGCACAGCUCUUUUCUUCAGUCCACAAGGUCAGUUUUUAGGUAAGCACCGUAAAGUCAUGCCCACAUCUUUGGAACGUUGCAUAUGGGGUCAAGGGGACGGAUCAACCAUCCCCGUUUACGACACUCCUAUUGGCAAAAUCGGUGCUGCUAUUUGCUGGGAGAAUAGGAUGCCCCUCUACAGAACUGCAUUGUACGCUAAAGGUCAGCUUUACAAUGCAAUGUAGCUUGACAUAUCCGGCUUGUAAAGUAAGAUUCCUAAUAAAUAUGCGCUUUUUGGUGUGCAGGCAUUGAGAUUUAUUGUGCACCUACUGCUGAUUAUUCGUUGGAAUGGCAAGCAUCGAUGAUUCACAUUGCGGUAGAAGGUGGAUGUUUCGUGUUGUCAGCGCACCAGUUCUGCAAGCGUAGAGAGUUCCCUGAACAUCCUGAUUACUUGUUUAAUGACAUAGUAGACACUAAAGAACAUGAUCCUACUGUCUCCGGAGGUGGAAGUGUCAUUAUUUCACCUUUGGGAAAGGUUCUCGCCGGACCAAACUAUGAAUCAGAGGGUCUCGUCACAGCUGAUCUUG